rnacentral:rRNA from 1 species
UGUUUCGGCUAGGGGGCCAUCCCGGCUUACCAACCCGAUGCAAACUACGAAUACCGAAGAAUGUUAUCACGGGAGACACACGGCGGGUGCUAACGUCCGUCGUGAAGAGGGAAACAACCCAGACCGCCAGCUAAGGUCCCAAAGUCAUGGUUAAGUGGGAAACGAUGUGGGAAGGCACAGACAGCCAGGAUGUUGGCUUAGAAGCAGCCAUCAUUUAAAGAAAGCGUAAUAGCUCACUGGUCGAGUCGGCCUGCGCGGAAGAUGUAACGGGGCUAAACCAUGCACCGAA